rnacentral:rRNA from 1 species
GACGAACGCUGGCGGCGUGCUUAACACAUGCAAGUCGAACGGAAAGGCCCUGCUUUUGUGGGGUGCUCGAGUGGCGAACGGGUGAGUAACACGUGAGUAACCUGCCCUUGACUUUGGGAUAACUUCAGGAAACUGGGGCUAAUACCGGAUAGGAGCUCCUGCUGCAUGGUGGGGGUUGGAAAGUUUCGGCGGUUGGGGAUGGACUCGCGGCUUAUCAGCUUGUUGGUGGGGUAGUGGCUUACCAAGGCUUUGACGGGUAGCCGGCCUGAGAGGGUGACCGGCCACAAGGGGACUGAGAGACGGCCCAGACGCCUACGGGAGGCAGCAGUGGGGAAUAUUGCACAAUGGGCGGAAGCCUGAUGCAGCAACGCCGCGUGCGGGAUGACGGCCUUCGGGGUGUAAACCGCUUUCGCCGGUGACGAAGCGGGAGUGACGGUAAUGGGUAAAGAAGCACCGGCUAACUACGUG